AUACGGAGGACGCGAGCGUUAUCCGGAUUCAUUGGGUUUAAAGGGUGCGCAGGCGGCCGUGCAAGUCAGCGGUGAAAGCCCGGGGCUCAACCCCGGAAGUGCCGUUGAUACUGCAUGGCUGGAAUGCGGUCGAGGCGGGCGGAACGUGGCGUGUAGCGGUGGAAUGCGACGAUAUGCCACAGAACGCCGAUAGCGGAGGCAGCUCGCCAGGCCUGCAUUGACGCUCGGGCACGAAAGCGUGGGGAUCGAACAGGAUUAGAUACCCUGGUAGUCCACGCCGUAAACGAUGGGCGCUCGUCGUCGGCGGCAGACAGUCGGCGGCCAAGCGAAAGCGAUAAGCGCCCCACCUGGGGAGUACGGUCGCAAGGCUGAAACUUAAAGGAAUUGACGGGG
rnacentral:rRNA from 1 species